rnacentral:rRNA from 1 species
AUGAACGCUGGCGGCGUGCUUAACACAUGCAAGUCGAACGAUUAAAGCUCACUUCGGUGAGUGUAUAGAGUGGCGAACGGGUGAGUAACACGUGGGAAACCUGCCCCUUUCUUCGGGAUAACUUCGGGAAACCGUUGCUAAUACCGGAUACUCCGGGAUGGUCGCAUGGCCGACCCGGGAAAGCUUUAUGUGGAAAGGGAUGGUCCCGCGGCCCAUUAGCUUGUUGGUGGGGCAAUGGCCUACCAAGGCAAUGAUGGGUAGCCG